GGAAACCAGAUUCUUUCUACCUUGGAAUAUAGUGUUUUAUAAUCCACUGGGUUAUAAAGUACUAGAACAUUCCUAAACCCCCACCAUGCUGAGGUCUAGGAAGCCAUCCAGGAUAAACCUCUCUCCACACGCUGUGCACAGAACACAAGUUGGGGAAUCAGAGGCACGGUCCCACCUCCACUGAACUGUGUUCUUUGCCUCUGACUCAGUUUCAUCUGUGAGGGAUCUGCCCUGCUCUGUCUACUUGGUGGGACUGCUGUGUUGAUCCAAGGGGAUCCUGCACUUGAAGUUGCCUUGGAACUGCCAGAUGAUGUGCAAAUGCCAUGGUUGCCACUUGAGCCUGAAUUUCCAAUCUGCCCAGAUAAAGAAGAGAGGAUUUGGGAGGGAAUUCUGCUGGAGUGACGGCUCGGAAAAAGGUUCUUUUCUAUUAUAGGUUAUUACAAGAUACUGAAUAUGGUUCUUUGUGCUAUACAGUCCUUUCUCUUCUCCUUCUGAGAACCCUAUAAUGUGAAUCUCCAGUGUCCCUGUCCCCACAGUGAGCCAUAGCUGCCCCUCACCCACCACC